AAACAGUACCAUCUGAUGGACGUGAGAGCAACAGAUGCUGUAAUCUCCGAAAGUUCUUCAUCGAUUGCUUUGAAAUUCUGACACAAAGUUCCAUUCGAAUACACGCAUUUUUGUUAUAUACCAACUAUAUAGAUGCCACAUCUGUGACAGGCAUCUUGGCCAAUAGAAAGGCAUAGACAGUGACAUCCCCUUUGACUGGAAACCUGUGUGUCUUAUCCAGCUCUAGGCACAAUGAUCGUCCUACAGCUUCAUUGAGCUUGGCAAUCUCCUCAGUACCACGAAGACCUGGCCGAUCUACGAGCAAAAAAGUAUUUUGUCUGAGAAAAAAAAUCAUAAAAAAGACGUUAGAAGAAGACCUGAAUGGUUACUGGCUUGUCUACUAUAUCCUGAUUUAAGAGAGAGGCAAAUGAAAAUAAAUACAGAAAAUUAAGAUUUAUGAGAAGUAAGCAAGGAAUUUACUGUCAAAAAAUGUGAUCAAAGUUAAUUUCACAAUAAACACUGUCACCCUAACUCAGA